UACGUAGGGUGCAAGCGUUAAUCGGAAUUACUGGGCGUAAAGUGUGCGCAGGCGGCCGCGCAAGUCGAGUGUGAAAGCCCCGAGCUUAACUUGGGAAUUGCGCUCGAAACUACGUGGCUGGAGUGUGGCAGAGGAAGGUGGAAUUCCACGUGUAGCGGUGAAAUGCGUAGAGAUGUGGAGGAACACCGAUGGCGAAGGCAGCCUUCUGGGCCAACACUGACGCUCAUGCACGAAAGCGUGGGGAGCAAACAGG
rnacentral:rRNA from 1 species